CGUAGGGUGCAAGCGUUAAUCGGAAUUACUGGGCGUAAAGCGUGCGCAGGCGGUGAUGUAAGACAGGUGUGAAAUCCCCGGGCUUAACCUGGGAACUGCAUUUGCGACUGUAUCGCUGGAGUGCGGCAGAGGGGGAUGGAAUUCCGCGUGUAGCAGUGAAAUGCGUAGAUAUGCGGAGGAACACCGAUGGCGAAGGCAAUCCCCUGGGCCUGCACUGACGCUCAUGCACGAAAGCGUGGGGAGCAAACAGGAUUAGAUACCCUGGUAGUCCACGCCCUAAACGAUGUCAACUGGUUGUUGGGUCUUCACUGACUCAGUAACGAAGCUAACGCGUGAAGUUGACCGCCUGGGGAGUACGGCCGCAAGGUUG
rnacentral:rRNA from 1 species